AGGACUACGAUCGCACUAACAG
rnacentral:siRNA from 1 species